CACGUAGAAAGACUAGUGUUAUUCAUCUUUAUUAGGUUUAAAGGGUACCUAGACGGAAAAUCAAGCCCAUAAUAGGGGACUAAUUUUUCUAGAGUUUUAUGAGAGAAGGGGCGAAUUUCCGGGAGGAAAGUUGAUAUUUUGUGGAUAACUGGGAAGGACGGGUAACGGCGAAGGCAACCUUUUAUGGUAAAACUGACGUUGAGGGACGAAGCCUGGGUAACGAGAAGG
rnacentral:rRNA from 1 species